UACGGGGGGGGCAAGCGUUGUUCGGAAUUACUGGGCGUAAAGGGCUCGUAGGUGGCCAACUAAGUCAGACGUGAAAUCCCUCGGCUUAACCGGGGAACUGCGUCUGAUACUGGAAGGCUUGAGAUUGGGAGAGGGAUGCGGAAUUCCAGGUGUAGCGGUGAAAUGCGUAGAUAUCUGGAGGAACACCGGUGGCGAAGGCGGCAUCCUGGACCAACACUGACACUGAGGAGCGAAAGCCAGGGGAGCAAACGGG
rnacentral:rRNA from 1 species